rnacentral:rRNA from 1 species
AUUGAACGCUGGCGGCAGGCUUAACACAUGCAAGUCGAGCGGAGAUGAGGUGCUUGCACCUUAUCUUAGCGGCGGACGGGUGAGUAAUGCUUAGGAAUCUGCCUAUUAGUGGGGGACAACAUUCCGAAAGGAAUGCUAAUACCGCAUACGCCCUACGGGGGAAAGCAGGGGAUCUUCGGCCCUUGCGCUAAUAGAUGAGCCUAAGUCGGAUUAGCUAGUUGGUGGGGUAAAGGCCUACCAAGGCGACGAUCUGUAGCGGGUCUGAGAGGAUGAUCCGCCACACUGGGACUGAGACACGGCCCAGACUCCUACGGGAGGCAGCAGUGGGGAAUAUUGGACAAUGGGCGGAAGCCUGAUCCAGCCAUGCCGCGUGUGUGAAGAAGGCCUUUUGGUUGUAAAGCACUUUAAGCGAGGAGGAGGCUACUUAGAUUAAUACUCUAGGAUAGUGGACGUUACUCGCAGAAUAAGCACCGGCUAACUACGUGCCAGCCGCCGCUGUAACAC